rnacentral:rRNA from 1 species
GACGAACGCUGGCGGUGUGCUUCACACAUGCAAGUCGAACGAGGUAGCAAUACCUAGUGGCGGACGGGUGAGUAACGCGUGGGAAUCUGCCCAUAGGUGGGGGAUAACUAGCCGAAAGGUUAGCUAAUACCGCAUACGCCGAAAGGUAAAAGGAGUAAUCCGCCUUUGGAUGAGCCCGCGUCCGAUUAGCUAGUUGGUAGAGUAAAAGCCUACCAAGGCGACGAUCGGUAGCUGGUCUGAGAGGAUGAUCAGCCACAAUGGGACUGAGACACGGCCCAUACUCCUACGGGAGGCAGCAGUGGGGGAAUUUUACGCAAUGGGGGAAACCCUGACGUAGCGACACCGCGUGAAUGAAGAAGCCCUUUGGGGUGUAAAAUUCUGUCGGCUGGGAAGAAAAAAAAUAGACGGCACCAGCAAAGGAAAGGACAUCGGCGUAACUAACGUGCCAGCAGCCGCCGG